UAUCGCCUGUUCCCAGGCGCCAGGCAGCCGCGAACUUCCAACUCCCCCUGGGCUAAAGGAUUCAGGCAAGAAUGGUGUGGGAACCACUCUCGGUCUGUAGAGGGCGCUCUGAGCACAGGCCAGGGAGCUUGAGCCUAUGACGCGCCACGGCUGCGUGGCCUCCAGAGCGAGUGAGGAUGGCGGACUGAUCGCUUUUCGUGGGGCAUGGGGAAAAAGCCUUCGGCCCUGACGCCAUGCAGCAGGUGAAUGCGCUUAUGUCCAACAGCAGGGCAAAAGAAACCUAAAAGGGACUGUACACGGGAAAUACAAGUGAAGGCAAGGAAAGAGAACUGUACAAGGUAAGUACAGUUCGUUUUAGGUUUAUUUUGCCCUGGAAAUUCAUGGUCAAGUUAUCAAACACAUCCAGAUUCUCUGGGGAGACUUAUGAGCAUAGACAUAAUGAAAAUAAACUCACACCGACAUAGUCUAGAAGCCUCUAUACUAGGAGCUAUAAUAUGAGGCAUUGAUUUCCACCCAUAAAUGUUGAUAGUUGGCAAAGCUAGUAGUAGUGGUAACUAACACAUGCUGAGCGGGGUAUUUAAAUGUGUUAGUAACUUUUGACUUGAUUCUCACCACAACUCUGUGAGGUGGGUACUGUUUUAUUCUUAAUUUUAAAGCUGAAGAAAUAGUAGUUUGGUGAGAAUAAGCAAUUUGUACAAAAUCGCCAAGGUGGUUUAAGUAGCGGGCCAGGAUCCAAACUGAGGUCUCUCUGGCCCCUGGGCCUGUGCUUUCUCCAUCCUCAGAUACGGCUUUCCAAAAUCUGAAGGCCUCUCCAUCCUGAGAUAUGGCCUUCAGAUUUUUGAAUCCUCUGCAUGUAACCUGAAAUCCCAGGUUCUUGCUUAGUGACUGAUUUGGGUGCUUAAGGCCCUAAUAUUUUACCAUUAACUCUGGCUGUAGGACCUCAUUGGCACAAAGUUCCUGAAACUAUCCAAUUUUCAGGCUGUUGGUGUGAAUUUCCCUGGAGAGUUACCUAGUGGUGAGUCAGUCCCUCCAGCCUAUGUCUGGGUAGCUUUCAGCAAAGCCUCUGACAUUUGGCAUUUUUCCUGGCAGGCAGCCAAGUGACUGAGGUUUUUUUUGUUUUUUUUUUUUUUCUGUUUCACUUUCACCCUUAACCGUUUUCCUCUCAAACAAAAAGGAACUCAAGGAUUUUACCAGUGCAUUUUAAAAAGUUGUUUGUGAGGGAAAGUUUGUAGCUGGAGGGAAAGGAGGGAAAAAGAUGAUUGAGAGAAAGGUGGAAACAGGCUCUUGAAAUUGUUCACAGAAUUUAGAACGCUCUUGAGCUAGAAAGGUUCUGUCUAAUUUAGAAAGCUACUUACAUUCCUCAAAAGAGAGGUGUUCUCUAAGUAUAAAUAUAUGAUCAGACACUCUGCAGGAGCUGUGGAGAAUCCCUAAAGUUAUUGUUUGUGUUGUCCCCAACAUUUCCUUUUAGCAAACAUUUACAAUGGCCUUGUCUUUCCUAAUGUUGAAUUCCCAACCUUGUGGAAAAGUAGCAGAAGUGGUUUAAAUUUGGAUACUUUCUCUUCCUGCUUCUACUCAUUUGGAAAAGGUGCUGGCAGCUAUUCAUAAACCACUGACAUGAUCAUUUGGAUCUGGUGCCGCUUCCCAAGGGGAAAAACUUUUUCCUCCUUAUUUUUUGAGCACUUAACUGCAUGCCCUGCCCUGUUUUAAGUGUUGUGCAUGUGUUAACUCAUUGAAUCCUCAGUCCUAAGAGAUCCCUAAUAACUAUAUUCCCAUUCAACAGUUAAGAAAACUGAGGCUUAUAGAGGCUAAGAAAUGUGCCCUAGGUCCCAUGGCUAUGAAGUAGGGUGAUGGUUUGAUGGGAGAGCCUUUAUUCUAUAGCAACACAUAGAAACAGGUUCAUACAGCCCCCAGAUCAAAGCCAGGCUCUGCCACCUCCCAGAAUGAUCAGCCAACUCACAUUUUCAACCAUUGCCAAGAAUAUCCAUGACAUUACUCCUAUGAGAAAUGAAGUGCAUUCCAGUUCCUAAUACAUCUUGUUUCCUCCUUCCAUAAAUGGUCUCAGGACUUCUACUUCUGUCAAAGUAGGAAAGGAUUCUAUUUAUUCAUUUCUUCAUUUGACAAGCACUUACAGACACACAGGCAAUAGGGCAUAAUGUUAGGAGAGCAGACACUGGAACCAGACUGCUUCCUUUGAAUCGUGGUUUUGCCAAUUACUUGCUCAAGUUCAUACAGCUUGUUGUUUAACCUUUCUGUGCCUCAGAUCCCAUGCAUAACAUGGAUUAAUGAUGACACUAACCUCACAUAGGUAUUAUUGUUUUAAAUGAGUUAAUCCAUAGGAAACACUUAAAACACUGCCUAGCACAUAGUAAAUGUUCAAUAAGCAUGAGGUAUCAUCAAACAGAUAUUUAGGAAAUAAAAGUAUACUAAGCAUGGGGAAACAAAAGGACUCAUAAUCCAGUAGGAAGUACUGGAUAUUCAUUCCUUCAAUAGAUACUUUUAUGUGCUAAGAACUAGGCCCUAGGAGUAUAACAGCUAAACAAAACACCCCACUACAAAUAUGUACAAACUACUAGAAGAGGUAAAUAGAGGAACAAACAAUGACAACGUAGUGUGAUAAAUUCUGCAACUAGGAUGGAAGUGGGUUAUGUCAGAGUAUUUGUGGGCUGUGAGGUUUAGGAAUCAGGAGACAUCUCAGAGGAAGGGAG
ensembl:lncRNA